ensembl:snRNA U6 U6 spliceosomal RNA
UUCUCUCUUGGGGCACAUUUACUAUAAUUGGAAUGAUACGGAGAAGGCUGGCAUGGCCCCUAUGCAAGGAUGACAUGCAGAUUUGCGAAUCAUUCUAUACUUUU